AGGCCUUCUCUGGCAUAGUGGUUCAGCUUAUGGUGCUUGGUUCAGUUGUGCCUCAAAUAAGGUAUAUAUGAUGGAUAUGAAUGAAUUCACAAAUUGAGACAAUUUCAUUUCAUAAAUAACAAAUUAUUAGUUUAGUGCCUUCAUUGCCAUACUCUAUUGUGGCAUAUCUUUUGGGGUGCAUUAAAACAUGCGAAUGGAAUUGAAGGCGGAUCAACAAUUGUUGUUAGAGUAAUAGCAUGCUUUCAACCCUUGAACAAUUGUCAGGAAAAGCCAAUGACAGCUUUUGGGUGAACAAGUGUGUCAAUCUGUGGUGAUAAUGUUGGAAAGACUAUGCAUGGCAAACCAUUCACUGU